CUGAGUCCUUUGUGCCAUUUCUAGGUAGCUGCUUGGUGAACGGAGCCCUGGUGGUACAGCGGUUAAGAGCUAUAGCUGCUAACCAAAAGGAAAUCACCAGCCCCAACACCCACUCCGAGCAGAAUCCCUCCAUGCCAGACAUGGUGCAAAGAACUUUGUAUCCAUUUUCACUCUGACGACACCAGCAAAGAGGAAGGGACGGUUACUCCCAUUUUGCAGAGACCUGACAGUUUCCCAGGCUGGACCCAGUGAAGAGCGUUGUCUCAUUGGAUACCAGAUAGAAAAUGAUAGCAAGAAGAGAGCGAUGUGGGCAGAGAGAGGAUGCGCACAUGGUGGAGAGAGGAAAUAGAUCUUCAUGGACCAGAAAAAAAAGUGCUUCUUGCUUCUAGGCCUCAAGGGAGCAUCUCCUCCUGGUGUCUGACAAAAGUGGAUGGGUGUGGUAGAAAGAAUGUGCCUUGGCCUGGGAAAGAAUUGGGUUCUAAUCCAGCAAAUUGACAAUUUCCCCAAAUAAGGUCACAUUCCCCAGCGUAGGGCUUAGAACUCCAGCAUAUCUUUUUUGGGGACACAAGUCAAUCCAUGGCACCCCCAAAUAUGUCCACAUCCUAAUCUCAGGAACCAGGCAAUAUGUCACCUUACAUGGCACAUGGGACUUUGCAGAUGUCAUUACACUAAGGAUCAAUCUUGAGAUGAGAGAUAGUCCUGGAUUAUCUAGGUGGGCCCAAGGCCAUCACAAGGAUCCUUGCAAGGGAAAGAGGGAGGCAGGAGGGUUCGGCCAGAGACGGAGUUGGCCGAAGCAGAGGUCAAAGAUGGGAGGAGAUGGUAUGCCCCUGGCUUUCAAGAUGGAGGAAGUGACCACAAGCCAAGGAUUGUGGGUGGCCUCUAGAAGCUGGAAGAAGCAAGAAAACACAUCCUCCUCUAUAGCAUCCAGAAGGAACUCAGUCCUGCCCACAACUUGAUUUUAGUUCAGUAAGACCAUUUUGGACUUCAGACCUCCAGAAGUGUAAGAGAACACAUUUGUGUUGCCACUAAGUUUGUAGUAAUUAGUCUCAGCAGCUCUAGGAAACCAAUGCCAUGGACAUAAAUAACGGUAUCUUCCUCAAGGGGCUGUUGAUUCUAACCCUCAGUACCUAUGAAUGUGACUUUGUUUGGAAAUGGGGUCUUUGCAGAUAUUUUCAGUUAACAUGAGGUCAUAGUCGAGUAGGGUGGGUCCUAAUCCCAUCUGAGUGGUGUCUUUGUAAAAGAGAACAGACACAGAGAGAGACACACAGAGGGAGACGCACAGGGAAGAUGGCCUUGUGAAGAUGGCGGUGGAGAUUGAAGUGAUGCCUCUACAAGCCGAAGAACAGCAAGAAUCACCAGCCAACUCCAGGACCUGGGAAAGAGGUACGGAAUGGGUUCUCCCUCAGAGGCCUCGGAAGGAACCAACAUGGCCGACACCCUGCUUUUGGACUCCUAGCCUCCAGAGCUGUGAGAGAAUAAAUUUCUGUUCUUAUAAGCUGCCCGGACUGUGGUGCUUUGUUACAGCAGCCCUAGUUUGCCCAUACCUACCCCUUCACCCCCUGAGCUUUCUGCACCCCAAGGAGCCUCUGUCCUUGCUGCCUUCCCCACGUCUGCAGCCAGCACCAGUGGUCUCUUAUUAAUGCCGUGAAAAUUAAACCAGGCUCACUUCUGCUGCUUUCCAGCCUACAGCCCUGGGCUGGGCAAUGGGCCUCUUCACCACCAGGCGCCACUGGUUAGAACUGAUGACAAAGUCCUAAACCAGGGGAAAGGUGAUGUCCAACGGGUCUGAGGAUGGGUGAGGAAGACCACACGGAGGAAGGAAGGUCUGGACCACAAGUAGAAAACUUGUGAUCCACAGCCAAGGGGCUAUGCUUCCUUGUAUCUGGCUAUCUACCUAUCUGUCUUUGUCUGUCUCUAUGUAUCUACAUAUGUAUGCAUUUAUCUAUGCAUGUGUGUAUCUAUGUAUCUAUGCAAGCAUUUAUGUAUCUCUCUCUCUGUGUAUGUAUGUAUGUAUCUAUGUACGUAUGUGUGUAUGUAUCUAUAUAUCUAUCGCUAUCAAUCUAUUAUCUAUCAUCUCUACCAAUCUGUUAUCUAUCAAUCUAUUAUCUAUUUAUAAUCUAUCUAUCAUCUCUUUCUCUCUCUCUUUCUGCUAUGUUUCCUCUUGAUGGGGCCCUCUACAUCCCACUUCCUCAUCCUAGGUGCUCUGUUAUUGAUUGAACUGUGUCCCCCUUCCCCAAAACUAUGUUGAAGUCCUAACCCCUGUACCUGUGGAUGUGACCUUGUUUGGGGAAAUAGGUUUUUUCUUUGAAGAUGUUAUCAGUUAACGAGGUCACACUGGAGUAGGGCAGUGUCUUAUAAAAGGGGAGGACAGACGUGGAGACAGAGUCACACAGUGAGAAGAUGCCAUGUAAAGAUACAUCUACCAGCAGCCAAGGAAUGCCAAGAAAUGCCUGGGGCUACCGGAAGCUGAAGGACACAAGGAAGGCUCUUCCCCUAGAGCAGACAGAGAGAGCAUGGUCCUGCUGAUGCCCUGAAUUUGGACUUCUAGCCUCCAGAACCGUGAGAAAAAAUUUCUGUUCUUUAAAGCCACACACCUAGUGGUAUUUUAUUAUUGCAGCCGUAGAAACCUAAGACCCAAACCCAACAGGAAGCCAUUAUUCUGUCUACCACACUCAUUUUACGGGUGAGGGAACCAAGGCCCAGAGAGGUUAAGCUACUUUUUCAGAGCUGCACAGCAUGUAGGUGGUGGAGUUGGGACUCGGACCCAGGCAGUCCCAAAACCACUAAUUGGAUCAGCUUCCUGGCAUCUUGACACUGCUCCCGGGAAAGACUUGUUGGUGGAGCAAUACCCUCGUUUAACCUGGUUGGUUGGGUGAAUAUUUUGAAUGGACACUCUCCUAUUUGAGAAUAUUCGUGGGGCCCCAGGACCAUUCAUUCAAUUUAUUCCCAAACUAUUUACCAUCUUUUGUGGCACAAGUGGUUGAGCACUGAGCUGCUAACUGAGAGGUUAGAGGUUCAAGUCUACCCAGAGGCUCCUCGGAAGAAAGGCCUGGAGAUCUGCUUCCAAAAAAAAUCAGCCAUUGAAACCCUGUGGAGUGGAGUUCUACUCUGACAUACAUGGGGCACCAUAAGUUGGAGUCUACCCAAUGGCAAGUGGUUUUGGUUUUUGUGGAGCUUACCUUCUAAUGAAGGAGCCCUGCUGGCUCAGUGGUUAAGUGCUCGGCUGCUAACCAAAAAGUGGGCAGUUCGAACCUACCAGCGGCUCCACAGGAGAAAAGGCCUGGCAGUCUGCUUCUGUAAAGAUUACAGCCUGGGAAACCCUGUGGGGCCGUUCUACUCCGUCCUAUAGUGUCGCUGUGAGUCGACAACACCCAACAACAACAUGUCCUAGUGAAGGCAACAGUGGGCAGUAAGCAAAGUAAAAAAGCCAAUUACCUAGCAAGGUAAAGGCGAUGGAUCCUGGGGUGAGUGCCCGACUGGUAAGCUCUGUCGGACACCGGCGGGGGGAAGAGGCUGUGCCUGGCAGGGAACUGGGGCCGCUGCCAUGUCUCAGCUCUCAUGAGCCAGAUGGAUCUGGAAGGAGCAGGUUACCCUCUGACAGGGCCCAAGACUGAUGCUCGCAUUUGCUUUGGAGAAAAGCUGGAAACUGCUGUAGUUUGUAACUGUCAGCAGCUGCCACUGAAUGAAGCCAGGUUUGCU